rnacentral:rRNA from 1 species
GGCCCUGUGAGAAAGUAUACAGGGUCGGGCCUGCCCGGUGAUUUUAGGAUUAAACGGCCGCUGUAAUUGGUGCGAUGGUAGCAAAAUCUAUAGCCCUUUAAUUGGGGGCGUGUGAAUGGUUUAGACGUGGGUGAGACUGUCUCGUGUGAAAUAAGUGAAAUUUACUUUUAGGUGCAAAGGCCUAAAUAAUAAGGCUGGACGAGAAGACCCUGUAGAGCUUUAUCCAAAAUUGGAAUUGAUUGGGGCAAUCGAAGAGCAAAAAAAACCUCUUGACUUAGAAAGAAUGAUAGAUGAACCGCACUAUUUGCGACUAUUAGAAGGAGCUACCGCAGGGAUAACAGCGUAAUCUUUCUUGAGAGUUCAUAUUGACGGAAGGGUUUGCGACCUCGAUGUUGAAUUAGGGUAUUCGUGGGGUGCAGAAGUCUCAUAGAAUAGGUCUGUUCGACCUUUAAAACCCU